UCAACAAUCAAAACGUUUUUUAUUUAUAUCAAAACAAACAACAGAUCACAUCCAAUUAAGAUGUAAUAGUUUAUGCCUCAGGGGCAACGGGCAAAUGAGCACCUUGUGGUUGGAAACCGUUCUCAUCAGCAACAUAGGUGACGGUGUAGGUUUGACCAUCAUCAGCGACGAAAGAGUAAGAACCACGGGCAACAAUGUGUUCAUCUUCAGCACCAACAUUGACCAAGUGACCUUCUUCGUCCUUUGAUGUACCAUCGCUGGUCUUCAAGCUAUAAAACACAAACGAAAAUAGGUUAUUUUCUUUAUU